rnacentral:rRNA from 1 species
AUUGAACGCUGGCGGCAGGCCUAACACAUGCAAGUCGAGCGAGCGGCGGACGGGUGAGUAAUGUCUGGGAAUCUGCCCGAUAGAGGGGGAUAACUACUGGAAACGGUGGCUAAUACCGCAUACCAUCGGAUGUACCCAUAUGGGAUUAGCUUGUUGGUGGGGUAACGGCUCACCAAGGCGACGAUCCCUAGCUGGUCUGAGAGGAUGACCAGCCACACUGGAACUGAGACACGGCCCAGACUCCUACGGGAGGCAGCAGUGGGGAAUAUUGCACAAUGGGCGCAAGCCUGAUGCAGCCAUGCCGCGUGUAUGAAGAAGGCCUUAGGGUUGUAAAGUACUUUCAGCGGGGAGGCGUUACCCGCAGAAGAAGCACCGGCUAACUCCGUGCCAGCAGCCGCGGUAAUAC